GUUGUUCGGAAUUAUUGGGCGUAAAGCGGGUGUAGGUGGCUCUAUAAGUCAGGAGUGAAAUCCCCGAGCUUAACUUGGGAAGUGCUUUUGGUACUGCAGAGCUUGAAUGUGGGAGAGGGUAGUAGAAUUCCAGGUGUAGUGGUGAAAUACGUAGAUAUCUGGAGGAAUACCGGUGGCGAAGGCGGCUACCUGGCCCAACAUUGACACUGAGACCCGAAAGCGUGGGGAUCAAACAGGAUUAGAUACCCUGGUAGUCCACGCCGUAAACGAUGGAUACUUGUUGUUGGAGGUAUUGACCCCUUCAGUGACGAAGCUAACGCGUUAAGUAUCCCGCCUGGGGAGUACGGCCGCAAGGUUAAAACUCAAAGAAAUUGACGGGGGCCCGCACAAGCGGUGGAGCAUGUGGUUCAAUUCGAUGCAACGCGCAGAACCUUACCUAGAUAU
rnacentral:rRNA from 1 species